rnacentral:rRNA from 1 species
UACGUAGGGGGCAAGCGUUGUCCGGAAUCAUUGGGCGUAAAGCGCGUGUAGGCGGUUCGGUAAGUCGGCUGUGAAAGUCCAGGGCUCAACCCUGGGAUGCCGGUCGAUACUGCCGGACUAGAGUUCGGAAGAGGCGAGUGGGAAUUCCCGGGUGUAGCGGGUGAAAUGACGCAGAUAUCGGGAGGAACACCAAUGGCGAAGGCAGCUCGCUGGGACGUUACUGACGCUGAGACGCGAAAGCGUGGGGAGCAAACAGGG